rnacentral:misc_RNA from 1 species
GAUGAAGAACGCAGCGAAAUGCGAUAAGUAAUGUGAAUUGCAGAAUUCAGUGAAUCAUCGAAUCUUUGAACGCACCUUGCACCCUUUGGUAUUCCGAAGGGUAUGCUCGUUUGAGUGUCAUUGUACUCUCACACUUCUAAUUCCUUUCGGGAUUGGGAGCGGUGGACUUGGGUGUUGCUGCUUUAGUUGUGGCUCACCUCAAAUAAGUUAGUGCAACUCUUGGUUGGACAUAGUACGGCGUGAUAAGUGUCUUCGCCGGCGCCUCUGUAAGGAGGGUGGCCGAUCGGGAGCUCUGUGCUUCAAACCGUCUUCGGACAAUCUUUGACAACUUGACCUCAAAUCGAGUAGGACUACUCGCUGAACUUAAGCAUAUCAAUAAGCGGAGGA